rnacentral:rRNA from 1 species
UACGUAGGGUGCGAGCGUUAAUCGGAAUUACUGGGCGUAAAGCGUGCGCAGGCGGCGCGUUAAGACAGGUGUGAAAGCCCCGAGCUUAACUUGGGAAUUGCGCUUGUGACUGGCGUGCUGGAGUGUGGCAGAGGGAGGUGGAAUUCCACGUGUAGCAGUGAAAUGCGUAGAUAUCAGGAGGAACACCGGUGGCGAAGGCGGCCCUCUGGACGAAUACUGACGCUGAGACGCGAAAGCGUGGGGAGCAAACAGG